AGAGAUUAAACUGAAGAGUUUGAUCCUGGCUCAGAUUGAACGCUGGCGGCAUGCCUUACACAUGCAAGUCGAACGGCAGCACGGAGCUUGCUCUGGUGGCGAGUGGCGAACGGGUGAGUAAUAUAUCGGAACGUACCCUGGAGUGGGGGAUAACGUAGCGAAAGUUACGCUAAUACCGCAUACGAUCUACGGAUGAAAGUGGGGGAUCGCAAGACCUCAUGCUCGUGGAGCGGCCGAUAUCUGAUUAGCUAGUUGGUAGGGUAAAAGCCUACCAAGGCAUCGAUCAGUAGCUGGUCUGAGAGGACGACCAGCCACACUGGAACUGAGACACGGUCCAGACUCCUACGGGAGGCAGCAGUGGGGAAUUUUGGACAAUGGGCGAAAGCCUGAUCCAGCAAUGCCGCGUGAGUGAAGAAGGCCUUCGGGUUGUAAAGCUCUUUUGUCAGGGAAGAAACGGUGAG
rnacentral:rRNA from 1 species